GAUGAAGAACGUAGCGAAAUGCGAUAAGUAGUGUGAAUUGCAGAACUCAGUGAAUCAUCGAAUCUUUGAACGCACAUUGCGCCCCUUGGUAUUCCAUGGGGCAUGCCUGUUCGAGCGUCAUUUGUACCUUCAAGCUCUGCUUGGUGUUGGGUGUUUGUCUCGCCUCUGCGUGUAGACUCGCCUCAAAACAAUUGGCAGCCGGCGUAUUGAUUUCGGAGCGCAGUACAUCUCGCGCUUUGCACUCAUAACGACGACGUCCAAAAGUACAUUUUUACACUCUUGACCUCGGAUCAGGUAGGGAUACCCGCUGAACUUAAGCAUAUCAAUAAGCGGAGGA
rnacentral:misc_RNA from 1 species